UUGCUCCCUGAGAUCAGGCGGCGGACGGGUGAGUAACACGUGGGUAACCUGCCUGUAAGACUGGGAUAACUCCGCGGAAACCGGGGCUAAUACCGGAUAACACCUACCCCCGCAUGGGGGAAGGUUGAAAGGUGGCUUCGGCUAUCACUUACAGAUGGACCCGCGGCGCAUUAGCUAGUUGGUGAGGUAAUGGCUCACCAAGGCGACGAUGCGUAGCCGACCUGAGAGGGUGAUCGGCCACACUGGGACUGAGACACGGCCCAGACUCCUACGGGAGGCAGCAGUAGGGAAUCUUCCGCAAUGGACGAAAGUCUGACGGAGCAACGCCGCGUGAGUGAAGAAGGUUUUCGGAUCGUAAAACUCUGUUGUUAGGGAAGAACAAGUGCCGUUCGAAUAGGGCGGCGCCUUGACGGUACCUAACCAGAAAGCCACGGCUAACUACGUGCCAGCAGCCGCGGUAAUACGUAGGUGGCAAGCGUUGUCCGGAAUUAUUGGGCGUAAAGCGCGCGCAGGUGGUUUCUUAAGUCUGAUGUGAAAGCCCACGGCUCAACCGUGGAGGGUCAUUGGAAACUGGGGAACUUGAGUGCAGAAGAGGAAAGUGGAAUUCCAAGUGUAGCGGUGAAAUGCGUAGAUAUUUGGAGGAACACCAGUGGCGAAGGCGACUUUCUGGUCUGUAACUGACACUGAGGCGCGAAAGCGUGGGGGAGCAAACAGGAUUAAGAUACCCUGGUAGUCCACGGCCGUAAACGAUGAGUGCUAAGUGUUAGAGGGGUUUCCGCCCUUUAGUGCUGCAGCUAACGCA
rnacentral:rRNA from 1 species